GUCUUUAGCUAUUUAUUCUCUUCCAAUGUAAAAAGAAACCCAUUAUCAAUGUCCCUUCUUUCUCUUUUCUAAUUUUAAGCCCUAAAUCCCCAAAUUUCUGCCAUUGUCAAUCUCACAUCUUCAUCUUUUCUUUGCUUUUUCUGUUGAAUUCUUCACCAGCCGUCUUCUCCAUCCAUCUUUUCUAAUAAUUUGACGCCAUGUCCCAAAAUUCAAUGAAUAUCAAGGAAGUCGAUAUAUGUAAUUACGGUGAUUAUUAUCGUCUGAAACUUCGAGGACUCCAUUGAAUCCAAGGCGUAGAUUUUUUGGAUGCAAAGCUUCAAAAGUUGGAAAAUGAUGGAUGUGGCUAUUUUAGAUGGAUUGAUCCGUCGCCUGAAAGUGCUGAGUGUCGUGCUCAAUGAAUAAAUUCAAAAAUAGUGAAAAUUCGAUUGAUCGACUAAAGAAAAAAUUGAAAGAGCUUGAAGAAGAAAGGGAUUCUUUGAAAUUGAAACUGAAUGAUUAUGAAGAGAAGAUGAUGGUAGUUAAUCAGAAACUCAAGAAAGUUAAACUACAAAGAAAUCGGGCAAAUGCCUAAUUCAACAGACUUGUGCUUGUUCUUAUUUGUCCUCUAACUAUAAAAUGGUUCUUUAAUAUAGUGUAAUCUUGUAGUAGUUUAAAGUGUAUGACCAGUGUAGGUGUAUGUUGAAUUAGCUGGUUAUGUUUUGUAUGAAAUUGAAAUCUUGAAUGUGAAUUGAUUGGCCUUGUUUUGUAUCAAACUGAAAGGUUGAAUAUGAA